rnacentral:rRNA from 1 species
GACGAACGCUGGCGGCGUGCUUAACACAUGCAAGUCGAACGGAAAGGCCCUGCUUUUGUGGGGUGCUCGAGUGGCGAACGGGUGAGUAACACGUGAGUAACCUGCCCUUGACUUUGGGAUAACUUCAGGAAACUGGGGCUAAUACCGGAUAGGAGCUCCUGCUGCAUGGUGGGGGUUGGAAAGUUUCGGCGGUUGGGGAUGGACUCGCGGCUUAUCAGCUUGUUGGUGGGGUAGUGGCUUACCAAGGCUUUGACGGGUAGCCGGCCUGAGAGGGUGACCGGCCACAUUGGGACGGGGCUACGGCCCAGACUCCUACGGGAGGCAGCAGUGGGGAAUAUUGCACAAUGGGCGGAAGCCUGAUGCAGCAACGCCGCGUGCGGGAUGACGGCCUUCGGGUUGUAAACCGCUUUCGCCUGUGACGAAGCGUGAGUGACGGUAAUGGGUAAAGAAGCACCGGCUAACUACGUG